rnacentral:misc_RNA from 1 species
AAUUCAGUGCUUUUAUGAAUUCACUACGGAUAAGUUGUUGGCGCGUUUCAAAACGGUUUACCGCUAACAAAUUUCUAAAAACAAUAAAAUAAAAAUAUUUUAACAGCAAAAUGAGAAUGAACAACUGAGCGAUACUUAAAUGUCAUUGAACGCAUUCUCACAGAACUUUUUAGUUUUUGCUGCUUUUCGCUUGGUGUGAAAAAUAUGAGAAAUUGAAAAUUAAAAUAACAAAAACAAAAAAUUAAAGUGUUGUUUACAAGAGUAAAGCGCUAGCAGUUAGUGAUUGCUACAAAGUGUAGUCAAAUAAAUACGAGUAUCUACAUAUGUAUGUGAGAGAAAAGUAAAAAAUAAAAUUUUCAAUAAGAUAGUUUAUGGAACAAAAUAUAUUUUAGUACAAAUAUUAUUUUAAAAAGUACUAAGGCAUAGUUUUUAUGCCAAAGAAAGUGUAGUGAAUUUUCGUAAAAAUACUUUUUAUACAAAAACAAUUUUGAAAUAAGUAUAAGAACGGGUUAAAAACACCGGAUUAAAAAUGGAGGGCGAAUCAACGGAAUCUACACACAACACAAAGGUGUCGGACUCCGCUUAUUCCAACAGCUGCAGCAACUCGCAGUCGCAACGCAGCGGCAGUUCGAAAUCACGUCUAAGCGGUAGUCACUCAUCGGGCAGCAGCGGCUAUGGCGGCAAACCAUCAACGCAGGCGAGCAGCAGCGACAUGCACAUUAAACGCGUCAAAGAUAAGACACGCAAGAAGAAGAAGUUGAAGUGUUCAGCACAAACGAAUAUUCUGGAAAAUCAGGACGAUGUCCCGAACACCAGUGAGCCACAAAAUGAAGAGCAAAUCGCUUUGGGCUGUGACAAGGCAAUCGCGCAAUGCAGUCGCCAGAAGGAGAAUAAAGAGACGUCAUUAUUGCUGGAAAAGGAGACAACCGAACAAACUAAAUCGGAGAUAUCAUUGCAAUUUCCCACACCAUCACCGUUAUCUACUACCACACAGCAAGGUGGAAAAUCGGAGAGAACCUGCGAAUCGGCACCAGGGAAAUUGGAAAGCUCUGGCAAGGCGGAAAAACUUAAGGAGGAGAGCUUCUGCUGUGUAAUAUCGAUGCAUGAUGGCAUAGUGCUCUUCACAACACCCAGCAUUACCGAUGUGCUUGGUUUUCCACGCGAUAUGUGGCUAGGGCGUUCGUUCAUAGAUUUCGUACACCCCAAGGAUCGCGCCACUUUUGCCAGUCAAAUAACAACCGGCAUACCAAUUGCAGAGUCGCGCAACAGCGCACCGAAAGAUGCACGCAGCACCUUCUGUGUGAUGUUACGUCGUUAUCGUGGCUUAAAAUCCGGUGGCUAUGGCGUUAUUGGACGUCCGGUGAGUUAUGAACCCUUCCGUUUGGGACUGACAUUCCGCGAAGCACCCGAAGAGGCGCGUCCCGACAACAAUCUCGUAUCGAACGGUACGAAUAUGUUGCUAGUCAUAUGCGCCACGCCUAUCAAGAGCUCUUAUAUAGUGCCAGAUGAGAUACUCUCGCACAAAAGCCCUAAAUUCUCCAUACGUCACACAGCGACGGGUUUAAUCUCGCAUGUGGACAGCGCCGCCGUCUCCACAUUGGGCUACUUACCACAAGAUCUUAUUGGACGUUCAAUAUUUGACUUUUAUCAUCCAGAAGAUCUAAUGGUAUUGAAGGAGAUCUAUGAAACAGUUAUGAAGAAAGGACAAACAGCGGGCGCUUCAUUUUGUAGCAAACCGUAUCGUUUUUUGAUACAGAACGGCUGCUAUAUUCUGUUGGAAACAGAGUGGACAAGCUUUGUCAAUCCGUGGUCACGUAAACUGGAAUUCGUUAUAGGACAUCAUAGAGUGUUUCAAGGUCCGAAACACUGUAAUGUUUUUGAUUCGGCACCUGCAAAUAAGCCAAAGCUUUCCGACGAAGUACGUAGUCGGAAUAUGCGCAUAAAAGACGAGAUACUCAAACUACUGGAGGAGUCGAUAUCGCGACCUUCGGACACUGUAAAGCAAGAGGUAUCGCGACGUUGUCAAGCGUUAGCUUCAUUCAUGGAAACUCUAAUGGACGAAGUGACGCGCACAGAUCUAAAGCUCGAGCUACCACAUGAAAACGAGUUGACAGUAUCCGAACGAGAUUCGGUGAUGUUGGGCGAAAUAUCGCCACACCAUGAUUAUUACGAUAGCAAAAGUUCGACGGAAACGCCGCCCAGCUACAAUCAACUCAAUUAUAAUGAGAAUUUGCAGCGUUUUUUUAACAGCAAGCCUGUUACCGCGCCCGUCGAGGUCGACCCAAUGAAGAACGAACAGUCUUACAGUAUUUCGGCUGAUGCACGGAAUACGCUCAGUCCGGUGCAGUGUUUCGAGGGCAGCGGUGGCAGUGGGUCCUCGGGAAAUUUUACAUCCGGCAGCCACAUACACAUGAGUAGCAUUACUAACACCAGCAAUGCCGGUACUGGCACGUCAUCGGGCAGUGCACAGCUAGUCACGUUAACCGAAUCACUAUUAAAUAAACACAACGACGAAAUGGAGAAAUUCAUGUUGAAGAAGCAUCGCGAGGCACGCGGUCGUUGCGGCGAGAAGAGUAAGAAGGCAACCGAAAAGGUGAUGGAGUAUAGUGGGCCGGGGCAUGGUCUUAAGCGCGGCGGUUCACAUUCAUGGGAAGGAGAUGCCAACAAACCGAAGCAUUCGCAUACCAAUGUUAUGGAUGCGCAACGUGAUUACGUGGAUCACCACAAUAUGGCGACCAAUUCGACUAGCAAAGCGUACGGCACGCUACAAACGACACUGGGCGAAACAUCGUUUGCCGGUUCGUAUGCUGCAGCCGGUCUUUCCUGCACACGCAACGUCAAUCUUUGGCCACCGUUCUCGGUUGGCAUCAACACCUCGCACACAUCGCAGACGGUGGCGCAAAGCGGGUUCACGCCGCAACACAGCAUCUUCCCGACAUUCUACUAUAUACCGGCGACCGCAGCAGCUGCUGCCGCUGCCGCAACACAGGCGCAAGUCAAACCCAACUUGGCCGACAUGCCGAGCACAUCGGCACAAGCUCUGCCGCUGCAAUAUAUGACUGGCGUUAUGUACCCACACCCCUCGCUCUUCUACACGCAUCCGGCGACAGCCAUGAUGUACCAACCCAUGUCGUUCUCAAAUAUGGCCAACUCUUUGGCUUUGUCCGAACAGGGCAACAGCGCGAGCGCAUUCAAAACGAAUCAACCAUGUAUGCUGGCGCCGACGCCAACGAAGACUCAGGGCGCCUUCCACUCGAUCACACCUGCGCAAUUGCAACGUCCGUCAUCGCAAGCGACUUCGGUGAAAGCCGAACCCGGCUCAAAUAUGGCGCCUUCGGAUUCAUCGAAAAAGGGUAUUGCUGACUCUCCCAUUCCAUCGGUUAUUGGCGAUUAUGUGUCGGAUCAACUCAAUCCAAAUGAUCUGAAGCAGCCAAACACGGAUAGCAAUGCCAACAGUGAUGAUAUGGAUGGUUCCAGCUUCUCAUCUUUUUACUCCUCUUUUAUAAAAACCACCGACGGAUCAGACAGUCCACAAGAAAACGAUAAGGACGGAAAACAUCGAAAAUAUAAGGUACAAACCGACUCUAAAUCAAUGGACAAUGCAGAAGAAGACCAAACAUUACAUGGUGAUGGUUAAGUACAAGUACACGUGAGUUGCUCAUCAACGUGAUGGCAAGUUUUGUGGCAACGUGACGAUCAGUAAGCGGCAAUUUUAUUUACAAACUAUUCCCACACAAGUCCACUUUGGCACAACUUACGAUACGAAGAAGUAUUAGCGCAAGUAUUGUCGCUGGCAUACAAUUAAAUGCUGAAAAUCAUAAUUUGCGAUUCGCUACGUAACAGUUGUGACGACGCUAUGGUUAUGAACCCCCAUUUUUUUUAACGGACGUAGUUUUCAUUAUAGAAAUUGUUUAUGUACAUAAGAAUAUACAUAUGCAGAAUUAAAUUAAAUUUAAAAAAACUAAGGAAGUUUACUCUGUUACGCAACAAAGUGAAAUACAAUAAAGACAGAAUAUAUUUA